UGGGAGGUUGAGCACUGGGAGUUGAGCACUGGGGUUGGAGCAUUGGGAGGUUGAGCACUGGGAGAUUGAGCACUGGGAUUGGAGCAUUGGGAGGAUGAGCAUUGGGGUUUGAGGAUGGGGGAGUUGGAGCACUGGGAGGCUGAGCACUGGGAGGUUGAGCAUUUGGAUUGGAGCAUUGGGAGGUUGAGCACUGGGAUUGGAGCAUUGGGAGGUUGAGCAUUUGGAUUGGAGCAUUGGGAGGUUGAGCACUGGGAGUUGAGCACUGAGAUUGGAGCAUUGGGAGGUUGAGCCCUGGGAUUGGAGCAUUGGGAGGAUGAGCAUUGGGGUUUGAG